AUGCUUUCCUGUGACUCACAUGGCUCUUCCCUCCUUGCUAGUGGCUCCAAGCUCAGGCGAGGAUCAAGGUGGCUACAACAUCACAUGCAGACCCAGCCCUGUCCAGGGCAAGAAGAGCAACCAUCUGUCUUCUCCUUCUGGUGGGUGGGGCUCCCCAUCUGCAGGUUCCCCCUGGGUCCCAGUGGGAGCUGCCCUUCUGCCUUUCAGAGCCCUCAGAACAGCAUCUUGGCGUCUGUCACCGACCGGCGUAGAAAUGGUGCUGGCUUCACCCGAGCUUCAGAUGCAGGUGUGCAGAGCCCCAGGGUUCAGAUCAAAGAGGGAAUCAUCUCUGAGGGCUCAGAUUCCCACCGCUCAGAGCCUCUGCGAACGGCGGAGAUGGUCCUGCCAAGGGAAGCCUGGGAAAGAUGCCCAGGGGUGCCUGGAGGAUGCGCCCCCUCCUCUCCUCUGCCAGUUCUUUCCCCCGUGUCUUUCUGUCCAUCUCUCUCUGGCUCUCUGCUGUGUCAGUCUUGCUCCCCGUUCCCUGCCUAUCCCCCAUCUCACCUCUCUCUCUCAUUUCCUGGCUUUUUCUCUCUCUGUCUCUGCCUGAUUCUCCCUCCCUUCCUUCCUCGUCUCCCCUCCAGCUCCUUCUCCCCCUCUCUGCUCCCUUGCCUUCUUGCUCUUCCCUCUCCGUGGCUGUCUUGCUCUCCGCCUCCCUCUCACCUCCUCUGGAGGAGGAUCUGUGUUGUGGGAUCAUGCCAAGCCCAGAGGGAAGGUCAGGGUACCCUGCAGAGACCAGUACAGACUGCCAUUAACCUGUCACUUCUGCCUACAGCAGGAACUGCAGCCACUGGAGAUGGGGACAUCUCAGCUGGGCUGACAAUGGAGAGCAGAAGCCACCCAGUUCAGAGGGUUGCAGACGUGCUCUGGGGCACCAAGGACAGGUGGAGGGGGUUCCUGAAACCAGCCUUGCAUCACAUCCUGCCCUUGACUUCUGAGCCAGGGGCUGUCUGGGCAGAGGGAGAAUUUCACUAGCGGCCACACUCAAGCCUCCCUUAGCUGCAGUCGUGGGAACUGGGGAUCUCAGUGAGGGCAGAAGCAAAGGUUGCAAAUUCAGCAGACUGAGGGCCAUGCUUCCCCUCCCCUAGGGGCUCUAAAAUAUGAAUCUAGGAGUUCUCGUCGUGGCUCAGUGGUAGUGAAACCGACUAGUAUCCACAAGGAUGUGGGUUUGAUCCCUGGCCUCACUCAAUGGGUUAAGAAUCCGGCAUUGCCAUGAGCUGUGGUGUAGGUCGCAGAUGCCGCUCGGAUCCAGCGUUGCUGUGGCUGUGGGAUAGGCUCCAGCUGCAGCUCCGAUUAGACCCCUAGCCCGGGAACCUCCAUAUGCUGCUACAGGAGUGGCCCUAAAAAGACAUAUAUAUGUGUAUAUAUAUAUACUUAUUUUAAACUAAGUUUCCUCUUGUGGACCUGGCAACACGGGUCUGUGGCUGAGCAGCAGUGCCUCUGGCAGACCACUGCACACUCCCCUGUCCUGCUGUCCCUUCUCCUCAAGCCUGGAUGCCACUGAAGUUGCCUGCCUGCCUGUGUACGCUCAGGAGUGUGCUGCCUCUGACAGCAGAGAGGUUUUCUGGGUGGGAGUAGGGGCCUGAGUGUUACCACCAACUUACUGUGUGACAGAGGGCAAGGCAUGCCAGCUGUCUGAGCCUCAGCCUUCUCAUCUGUGAAAUGGGAGGUUGGACCUUUUGGAGCAUCUACUGAAAGCUACGGACCCUCUCCCUAGAGAAAAGGACCUGGGCAUAGAUUUACCUCUGAUUUCAGAGGCUCAUGGGCCCCUCUCCCUGGGGGCAGGGAUCCCAGGCUAAAAACCCCUGCUGAGUGCUACGGUUCCCUCCCCCUUUGCCUCAGCUGCCCCAGUCAGAGUCCAGAUGGACCCAUCCUCUCAGAUCUGGCCAACCAGGGCCGCUUCUCCUCUGGGUGAGCUGGGACUCUCUGGAUUCCCAGGGCUGCCCCAGCCAGGCUGGCAGCAGCCGCCCAUCGAUAUGCAGGAGGGGUCUGGACUGGCGCUGGAUUAGCAUAACGCACUCCAGGAGGUAAAGGCCCACCAGGCGGCCUCUGUGCGCAGCGCCCGCCUUUGUCCUGGCCCCAGGACUGCGAAGGACGCCCAGGCGGCUCAUCCACUUUUGACUGCCAGAUGAAAGGGGGCGACAUAAAGAGGCUGCCUGGGCCGAGCAUGGGGGUGCUUUGUGUCCCUCCAGACAGAGUUACAGACGUCUGUGAAACGUCAAUUACCGCUGAAUAAAGACGUCUGCUAGGUCCA
rnacentral:lncRNA from 1 species